rnacentral:rRNA from 1 species
CACGUAGGGGGCAAGCGUUGUCCGGAUUUAUUGGGCGUAAAGAGCUCGUAGGCGGCUUAGUAAGUCGGGUGUGAAAACCUGAGGCUCAACCUUAGGCCUGCAGUCGAUACGGGCGGACUUGAGUACUGCAGGGGAGACUGGAAUUCCUGGUGUAGCGGUGAAAUGCGCAGAUAUCAGGAGGAACACCGGUGGCGAAGGCGGGUCUCUGGGCAGUAACUGACGCUGGAGGAGCGAAAGCCGUGGGGAGCGAACAGG